rnacentral:tRNA from 1 species
UGUAGCUCAGUGGUAGAGCACUUGCCAAUCAUGCAAGAAGCCUUGGGUUUAAUUCCCAGCA